UACGUAGGGUGCGAGCGUUAAUCGGAAUUACUGGGCGUAAAGCGUGCGCAGGCGGUUUUGUAAGCCAGAUGUGAAAUCCCCGGGCUUAACCUGGGAAUGGCAUUUGGGACUGCAAGGCUGGAGUGUGGCAGAGGAGACUGGAAUUCCCGGUGUAGCAGUGAAAUGCGUAGAUAUCGGGAGGAAUACCGAUGGCGAAGGCAGGUCUCUGGGCUGACCCUGGCGCUCAUGCACGAAAGCGUGGGGAGCAAACAGG
rnacentral:rRNA from 1 species